GGCCUGCUGGCCCAAUGGGUAAGCAGUUCUCCAAUGUCGAUGCAGAGAAGUGAAAUUAAUGUAGAACAGCAAGGCGCAUGACUACGAAUCAUGAGAUUGCAGGUUCGAUCCCUGCGCAGGUCA
rnacentral:tRNA from 1 species